CAGGCAAGCGACCGACCCCAGUGGAGCCACAGCGCCUUUCUGCUUCACCAGUUAAACAGCUGGAUGGCUCAUCUCUGCCUUUGGAUUUUUCAGCACAGGAUUCUUUUCCUCCACUUCCUGGUGAAUAGAAAGAUCAGCUUCAACUGAAAAGAAAAGCCCACAUUCUCCUAGCUUCCUUACUGCUUGCUUCCAACUCAAGCUAAUUACUUGAACAGCACCUUUGGUGGAGAAGAGCUGACACCAGAAACUGGACAAGGUACCAUGCUCAGCACUUUACGUGAACAUUUUCCUCUACUGACCUUGAGAAACCAAGUGGUUUCAGCCUAAAAUAAUCUUCAAGAAAGAAUUGACUUCUCCGUUCAGUUCAUUAUUGGAUAAGAAAAAAUGACCUGGCCAACAAUGGGUUGAGCAUCCAUUCUGGUUGCUCCCCUAACACCUCGAUCUGACUGCUUUUGGAGAAGGUGCCACACGAUGCUGUAAAGGAUUGUUAUGUCCUUGAGAACAGGGUAUACCUAUUGCAGGGUAUGAAAUACGGGGUCUAUAAAAUAAAUAUCUACUGGAGGAAGGAAUUAGAAUUGACAAGAUGAUAUAUGUGAAAGUUUAAGUUAUUGGGAACAUCCUUACUCUCCUUUUGUAUUACUGUAAUAUGCAAUAACAACUGUGACAUAAAAUGAUUCCCAUUAGCUCUUCCUGAUCCUAGAAAUGGAGAAAUAGUUAUUUAACCAUUUACUGUUUAAGUUAAACGUGGAGCGACAUUUCCCCAUACCAGGCAGUUUUAUGUGCAAAGUUUUGUUUCUGCACAGAAGUGGAUACUAAUUAAAAAAAAGAGAGAGAGAGAGAUGGUGUCAUCAUUAAUAGCUAAAUAGAAGUCAUUUCUAGUGAUGUCCACAAGGCUCGCUAAAAUUUUUAUGCUGAUUUCAUGUGGCAAGAACUGUAGUACUGAAUAGAGAAUUGUUUCUGACCUGCAACAUUGUUCAAUGUUUGUGAUGCUGUAAAUUGGACACAUUUUGUGGAUUUUUUAUUGUAAAUGCUUUGGUUUGCAGUAUAGAUCUCUGGGCUCUGGUGGGACUUUACACAGCCUCCCUAGGCUGCAGAUGGGAGAGAGAAACGGCCACUGCUCUGAAGGGAGUGGAGAGCAGCAAAAUGAGCCAAGGCUUUGUAUGUGCUCAUUACAGGCGCAACAGUUAUGCAAACGAAGAACCCAACGUUUUACUAAAUUGAUGCCAAAAAUCUUGUCCCACACUACAACAAAUGUUUGAAUCUGCACAGAGCCUAUGUAGAAUAAAAUCAAUAUGCUGUUGUUGGAAUACAUGUCUUUGGAUAAAACUGUUGUUCGAGAAUGCCUUGGACACUUAUUUUGAAUGAUCCUUAUCUAAUAGUAAAUUGGAUAUGCAUUUUUUCUCUAUUAGAGAUGGAAU